UCCUAUGUCAUAUUAAUAGGCUUGUGUUCAGAACCUGAUCAAUUAUUUAAAUACUUUCAGAAGAAAUCAUCCCAGUGAAGUACAGUCGCUUUGACAGAUUUUUAAUCAUGUUAAAAAUCAAAAAGCCAGAAAUAACGUAUAGCAAAGUUAAAGCAUUUAAAGAAAACACAGGAGAAACAAGAAAGAGAAGAAUCUUUAACAGAAUCGUUGGUUUAAUUGCCUGUGGCGCACACAAAGAAGAAUAGCUGUUUUAACAAUUUUAUAUUAUUGCAUGCAUAUACUAUUUCAAUAUAAAUCUGUUCUUCUAAAACCUGCCAGCUAUUACAACUAUAAAUUUCAAC